rnacentral:rRNA from 1 species
GUUGUAUAGUCAAGUAAUUAAGUGCAUGUGGUGGAUGCUUGGCAGUCAGAGGCGAUGAAAGACGUAAUAGCCUGCGAUAAGCUCGGGGAGGCGGCAAAUAUCCUGUGAUCCGGAGAUUUCUGAAUGGGGAAACCCACUUACCAUAAGGUAGGUAUCGCAUGAUGAAUACAUAGUCAUGCGAGGCGAACGAGGGGAAGUGAAACAUCUCAGUACCCUUAGGAAAAGAAAUCAAUUGAGAUUCCCUCAGUAGCGGCGAGCGAACGGGGAUCAGCCCAUUAAGUUAUAUGUGUUUUAGCGGAAAGCUCUGGGAAGUGCUACCGUAGAGGGUGAUAGUCCCGUACACGAAAGGCACAUAUAAUGAUGACGAGUAGGGCGAGGCACGUGAAACCUUGUCUGAAUAUGGGGGGACCAUCCUCCAAGGCUAAAUACUCCUGACUGACCGAUAGUGAACCAGUACCGUGAGGGAAAGGCGAAAAGAACCCCUGUGAGGGGAGUGAAAUAGAUCCUGAAACCGCAUGCAUACAAGCAGUGGGAGCCAACUUGUUUGGUGACUGCGUACCUUUUGUAUAAUGGGUCAGCGACUUAUAUUCAGUAGCAAGGUUAACCGUAUAGGGGAGCCGUAGAGAAAUCGAGUCUUAAUAGGGCGUUUAGUUGCUGGGUAUAGACCCGAAACCGGGUGAUCUAUCCAUGAGCAGGUUGAAGGUUGGGUAACACUAACUGGAGGACCGAACCCACUGUCGUUGAAAAGCCAGGGGAUGACUUGUGGAUAGGGGUGAAAGGCUAAUCAAACUCGGUGAUAGCUGGUUCUCCCCGAAAGCUAUUUAGGUAGCGCCUCGGACGAAUACCAUAGGGGGUAGAGCACUGUUUCGGCUAGGGGGUCAUCCCGACUUACCAAACCGAUGCAAACUCCGAAUACCUAUGAGUACUAUCCGGGAGACAGACUGCGGGUGCUAACGUCCGUAGUCAAGAGGAAAACAAUCCAGACCGCCAGCUAAGGCCCCCAAAUUAUAGUUAAGUGGGAAACGAUGUGGGAAGGCAUAGACAGCUAGGAGGUUGGCUUAGAAGCAGCCACCCUUUAAAGAAAGCGUAAUAGCUCACUAGUCGAGUCGGCCUGCGCGGAAGAUGUAACGGGGCUAAAACUAUAUGCCGAAGCUGCGGAUGUAUACUAUGUAUACGUGGUAGGGGAGCGUUCUGUAAGCCGAUGAAGGUGUAUUGAGAAGUAUGCUGGAGGUAUCAGAAGUGCGAAUGCUGACGUGAGUAACGACAAAACGGGUGAAAAACCCGUUCGCUGAAAGACCAAGGGUUCCAGUCCAACGUUAAUCGGGGCUGGGUGAGUCGACCCCUAAGGCGAGGCCGAGAGGCGUAGUCGAUGGGAAAUUGGUUAAUAUUCCAAUACUUCUGUGUAAUGCGAUGAGAGGACGGAGAAAGUUAAGUCAGCCUGGCGUUGGUUGUCCAGGUGAAAGGCAGUAGGCAUGCAUCUUAGGCAAAUCCGGGGUGCUCUAUGCUGAGAGCUGAUAGCAAGCUAGUUUACUAGCGAAGUGGCUGAUACUAUGCUUCCAGGAAAAGUCUCUAAGCUUCAGUUACACAGGAAUCGUACCCUAAACCGACACAGGUGGUCAGGUCGAGUAGACCAAAGCGCUUGAGAGAACUCUGCUGAAGGAACUAGGCAAAAUGGUACCGUAACUUCGGGAGAAGGUACGCUGCUGACGGUGAUAGGACUUGCUCCUUGAGCUAUUGGCAGCCACAGAAACCAGGCCCCUGCAACUGUUUAUUAAAAACAUAGCACUCUGCAAACACGAAAGUGGACGUAUAGGGUGUGAUGCCUGCCCGGUGCUGGAAGGUUAAUUGAUGGGGUUAGCGUAAGCGAAGCUCUUGAUCGAAGCCCCAGUAAACGGCGGCCGUAACUAUAACGGUCCUAAGGUAGCGAAAUUCCUUGUCGGGUAAGU